GCCCUUGUAGCUCAGUUGGCAGAGCGCGUUCUUGGUAAGAACGAGGCCUCCGGUUCGAUCCCGGACAAGGGCU
rnacentral:tRNA from 1 species